GUGAGACCCCAAGAUCAGACCUGAGUUCAGAAGUGUUAGUUCUCGGACAAAACGGGCAGCAAGACUUUGCUCCUUAUGGCAGUCAUCAACCACUUCUACUCUCUUCUCCCUCACCACCAGGAAGCCAGAUUGAGCCCCUGAGGCUCAGAGACUUUGCACAAAGCAGCUGGGACUACCUCACCCAGGCAAAACCUGGAAAUGUCUUGGGUCUCUUCCCUCUGUUUUAUUUUUCCAGUGUCAGCCAGCAGCCAUGGUGGACACUGGUUUACACUGCAACUGGGAGCUGGGAUUACUCUGCUUUUAGGAGGUCCAAUUGGUUCGUAGUCUACUUGCAAAUUUUAUGAGGAAGUGAGUUUGGAGAUUAAGGUCUAACAAUGCUGUGGCUGGGAAAGGGAGGCAAUCUGGAAAAUGCUUUUCAUUUCUGACCUUCAGAUCUACUCUGCACUGAGUAUGGGUUUUCCCACGGUAGCUGGGUGAGUGCCUUCACCUUGCCACUGCUGCACAUAGUUUGGGGCUAUGGAGAAAACUCUUCCAAUCUACCCAAGCAAUCCUUAGGAGACCUGGGAAGAAACCAGGUUACCUUCGCUCUGCAGUCAGGACUUUGCUCGUCAUUAGAGUAAGUGAAAGUACUUCCCUCCUUGGUAUCAUAAAUAAAUCAUUAAAUCCAAGCUCGGAGGGAGGAAGC
rnacentral:lncRNA from 1 species